UUACAUGCCAAGCACAUAUUAUUUUUAACCUUGAACGUUGGUAAAGAGAGAUUUCAAAGUUCAAACGCAGUGAGUUUUAUCAGGUUUGGAUUUUAGAUGGUUUAUUUCUUAUUUGGAACAAGGUUACUAUACUCAAACUAGUGAAAAUAUAAAGACUUAUUAAGAGUAUAUAAAUCAGAGUCUGAAAACAAUGGGAGGGUUAAUGAAAGGUGUGUUCAUAAUAAUGAUCAAUCUAACAAUGGGAGGGUCUUUUGUAAACAAGAUAAAUCACAACUAUUCCAUUUCUAAAAAAUUUUAGUAAAUAACAUAUUACAAAUAUUAAUUCCGAUUAUUUUUCAUUUAUUUUGUUACAUUUCUCCAUUAAUUUAUUCCAAUUCUGAUUACUGAUUACUGUAUAGUUAAUGUGCCAUAAAGUACUUAAAACGACACUUUUUUUUUUCCUUUCGUUGAAAAACACAAAUUAUUUAUUUAUUUACAUUUUUACUAAAAACAAUAAUGUAAACGUACAUCAACAUGCAACCAAUUAAGAGUUUAUUAGACCAUAUUUAAUAUUUUUAAGCAUAUUCAGAUUCAAUUUAAUUAUAUAUUAAUUGAUAAAUUUUACUAUUUGAUCUUAUUCAAUUUAAUAUUUUUAAGCAUACCCAUUAUAUGCCUUAAGUUAAUUUAAAUUAUAUGUUAAACUUAAGUGGAAGAUGAAAGUAUAUUGGGCAAUCCACUCAUUAAAUUAAGUAUAUUUUAAUGAAAUAUAAUUUGAGGAUAGUUUUGAGUAAUGGAUUAAAAAAAAAGGGUAUAUUGAGAAAUACCUCUUUUAUUUAUUAAUUAACCAAAACUACCUCUACUUUUAUAUUUAAUUGAAACAUACCUCUUUUUAUAUGUAUUAUACCCAAAAUACCCUGAUAUAAGGGAGUCACAUGGAGAGUAUAUUGAGGUGACAGGGGUAAAAUCGGUAAAGUGUUAAAAAAAAGGUAAAAAUGAUAGAUUUUAAAAAAUAAGAUAACAAUAAAAGAGGUUAAUAUAAAAAAGGUAUAGAGUCUAAUUUUCUCAAAAAAAAAAAAAAAAAGUAUUUCUAAACUUAUCCAUUUGUGGGCCUUAAGUAUUUGAGUUAGCCCAAUUAGGCCCAAUUAGAAUAGUACACCCAUAACGUGAUAUUAUUAGGGUUCAAUACAGAGCUUCUCUCUCCAUACUUCGCUCUCCGUUACUCUCCAUCGGCACCGAUCGGAGAUGAGGGAUUCCGUUUGCUAAUAGGCCGUUCAGUUGUCCAAAUCGGCUUCAUUAUCAUCUCAGCUUCACUCACAGUCUAACUCGAUCGCUUUCUCACUAAACCCUAGAAAUAUUAUCAACAACCUGAUCGCUGAUCGGACAUCGGAGCGGAGGCAUUUCACUCUCAGGUUUAUUACAGUCUGUCAAAAUCGCAAGAGCUGCAGUUACUUUGGCCACAGGACUGUUGAAGAAGGCAGGGGCUGAGGCUACUCUAUAGUUUACUUAAUCACAAGAAGCUUGAUGGCUGGAAUUUCAGGAUUCGCGAGCCUUGGACCUAAGACCAAGAACUUUGUAGUUGCCGGUGGAUUGACAUCAUUCGUCUUUGGGGUAUAUUUCUACACAAUGAGGGCUGUGGGAGGUACAGAUGAGCUGCAAGUGGCCAUAGAUAAGUUUGAGGAUCAGAAGAACAAGAAAGAGGCUGAACCAAAUUUGCCAUCUAAAGCUUAAUAACAUGUUUAAUUGUACUUCGUUUGUUGUCUAAAACGGAAAUAAGAUUUUUCUCGAUACUCUUUCUUUACAAUAAGCUUUUUUUGCUGGCGUAAUAUGUAAUAUUUCUUCAUUAAAUGUCUAAUAACACUACAGAAAUUUUGUUCACUUACAUGCCAAGCACAUAUUAUUUUUAACCUUGAACGUUGGUAAAGAGAGAUUUCAAAGUUCAAACGCA